CAGAGUGUCCAGACUGUUACUGAGACUCUGACAGUCUACAGAAUUUGUUUUAUCUACAAGUCAUAAUAUUGACCCAAUGGACCACGAAGUCAUAUGAUCUGAGAAGAAAAAGCUUUUGAAAAUGAUGGAAGAAUCUUCCGAUGAAUCAACAGAAAUAAUCUCCAAUGAGGAAGCUGAGUUAGCCAAGAAAAUGCAAGAGAGCGCAGAACUUUCCAAUACAGAUACAUCAACUACAAAGUUUGUUGCCAGUGUGUCAGCUCCUGCUCCACUGCCAGUAUUUAUGAGCAUUCCUGAAGCCUCUCC